rnacentral:rRNA from 1 species
GAGGUUAAGCGACUAAGCGUACACGGUGGAUGCCCCGCAACAGGCGUGAUGAAGGGACGCUAAUCUGCGAUAAGCGUCGGUAAGGUGAUAUUAACGUUAUAAAUCCCGAUUUGACAGGGAAACCCAGUGUUUCGACACACUAUCAUUAACUGAAUCCAUAGGUUAAUGAGGCGAACCGGGGGAACUGAAACAUCUAAGUACCCCGAGGAAAAGAAAUCAACCGAGAUUCCCCCAGUAGCGGCGAGCGAACGGGGAGCAGCCCAGAGCCUGAAUCAGUGUGCAAAAGCAGGUGCAGCGUCUGGAAAGGCGCGCGAUACAGGCUGACAGCCCCGUACACAAAAAUGCACAUGCUGUUAGAUGAUGAGUAGGGCGGGACACGUGGUAUCCUGUCUGAAUAUGGGGGGACCAUCCUCCAAGGCUAAAUACUCCUGACUGACCGAUAGUGAACCAGUACCGUGAGGGAAAGGCGAAAAGAACCCCGGCGAGGGGAGUGAAAAAGAACCUGAAACCGUGUACGUACAAGCAGUGGGAGCACGCUUAGGCGUGUGACUGCGUACCUUUUGUAUAAUGGGUCAGCGACUUAUAUUCUGUAGCAAGGUUAACCGAAUAGGGGAGCCGAAGGGAAACCGAGUCUUAACUGGGCGUUAAGUUGCAGGGUAUAGACCCGAAACCCGGUGAUCUAGCCAUGGGCAGGUUGAAGGUUGGGUAACACUAACUGGAGGACCGAACCGACUAAUGUUGAAAAAUUAGCGGAUGACUUGUGGCUGGGGGUGAAAGGCCAAUCAAACCGGGAGAUAGCUGGUUCUCCCCGAAAGCUAUUUAGGUAGCGCCUCGUGAAUUCAUCUCCGGGGGUAGAGCACUGUUUCGGCAAGGGGGUCAUCCCGACUUACCAACCCGAUGCAAACUGCGAAUACCGGAGAAUGUUAUCACGGGAGACACACGGCGGGUGCUAACGUCCGUCGUGAAGAGGGAAACAACCCAGACCGCCAGCUAAGGUCCCAAAGUCAUGGUUAAGUGGGAAACGAUGUGGGAAGGCCCAGACAGCCAGGAUGUUGGCUUAGAAGCAGCCAUCAUUUAAAGAAAGCGUAAUAGCUCACUGGUCGAGUCGGCCUGCGCGGAAGAUGUAACGGGGCUAAACCAUGCAACUGAAGCUGCGGCAGCGACGCUUGAUGUUGUUGGGUAGAGUUGCCCUGUAAGCCCGCGAAGGUGUGCGUUGUGAGGCAUGCUGGAGGUACUCAGAAGUGCGCGAAUGCUGACAUAGCGCAACGAUAGCAGAAAGCCCGCUCGCCGUUAAUCUCAAGGUUCCUGGGUCCAACGUUAAUCAGGGUGAGUCGACCCUACAUGAGGCCGAAAGGCGUAGUCGAUGGGAAACAGGUUAAUACUCAAAAUUCUGGUGUUACCGCGAAGGGGACGGAGAAGGCUAGUUGGCUCACACAAGCCAUCCCUGGUUUAAGCGUGGCUGGCCUUCCGUGCAAAUCCCGGCACCGGGCUGAGGCGUGAUGACGAGGCACUACGGUGCUGAAGCAACAAAUGCCCUGCUUCCAGGAAAAGCCUCUAAGCAUCAGGUAACAUCAAAUCGUACCCCAAACCGACACAGGUGGUCAGGUAGAGAAUACCAAGGCGCUUGAGAGAACUCGCGAAGGAAUCCAGGGCAAAAUGGUGCUUUCCGCAACUUCGGGAGAAGGCACGCCGGAUAUGUAGGUAGUCCUCUUGCGGAUGGAGCUGAAAACCCAGCCGAAGAUACCGCAGCUGGCUGCAACUGUUUAUUAAAACACAGUACUGGAAAGUGUUAAUGGGCGCGGGACGUAAUGGCGUGACGCCUGCCCGGUGCCGAAGGCAUGGGGUUAGCCGCAAGGCGAAGUCGUGAUCGAAGCCCCGGUAAACGGCAGCCGUAACUAUAACGGUCCUAAGGUAGCGAAAUUCCUUGUCGGGUAAGUUCCGACCUGCACGAAUGGCGUAAUGAUGGCUAGGCUGUCUCCACCCGAGACUCAGUGAAAUUGAACUCGCUGUGAAGAUGCAGUGUACCCGCGGCGCCAAUUAAGACCCCGUGAAACCCUUACUAUUAUAGCUUGACACUGAACAUUGAGCCUUGAUGUAGGAUAGGUGGGAGGCUUUGAAGUGUGGACGCCAGUCUGCAUGGAGCCGACCUUGAAAUACCAACCUUUAAUGUUUGAUGUUCUAACGUUGACCCGUAAUCCGGCUAUGGACAGUGUCUGGUGGUAGUUUGAUUCAGCGGUCUCCCAAAGAGUAACGGGAGGAGCACGAAGUUGGCUAACUGGCUCUCCACAUCAUCAGGAGGUUAGUGCAAUGGCAUAAGCCAGCUUGACUGCUGUUUUUAAUGCUGCUGGCGGUGCGAAAGCAGUAACAGAAGCAGAGAUCCGGUGGUUCUGAAUGGAAGGGCCAUCGCUCAACGGAUAAAAGGUACUCCGGGGAUAACAGGCUGAUACCGCCCAAGAGUUCAUAUCGACGGCGGUGUUUGGCACCUCGAUGUCGGCUCAUCACAUCCUGGGGCUGAAGUAGGUCCCAAGGGUAUGGCUGUUCGCCAUUUAAAGCGGUGGUGCAGUACGCGAGCUGGGUUUAGAAGUCGUGGCGACAGUUCGGUCCCUGCCCGCCGGGCGCUAAGAACUGAGAGGCCGCCCCAGUACGAGAGGACCGGAGUGGACGCAUCACUGGUGUUCGGGUUGUCAUGCCAAUGGCACUGCCCGGUAGCUAAAUGCGGAAGAGAUAAGUGCUGAAAGCAUCUAAGCACGAAACUUGCCCCGAGAUGAGUUCUCCCUGACUCCUUGAGAGUCCUGAAGGAACGUUGAAGACGACGACGUUGAUAGGCCGGGUGUGUAAGCGCAGCGAUGCGUUGAGCUAACCGGUACUAAUGAACCGUGAGGCUUAACCUUACAACGCCGAAGGUGUUU